AGAGUUUGAUCCUGGCUCAGGAUGAACGCUAGCGGCAGGCCUGACACAUGCAAGUCGAGGGCAGCGCGCGUAGCAAUACCUGGCGGCGACCGGCGCACGGGUGAGUAAUGCGUAUGCAACCUGCCCCCGUCUGGGGAAUAGCCCGUCGAAAGGCGGAUUAAAGCCCCAUGGUUCCCUUUUUCGGCAUCGGAGAGGGGAUAAAGGUUACGAACGGGGAUGGGCAUGCGUGCCAUUAGCUAGUUGGAGGGGUAACGGCCCACCAAGGCUACGAUGGCUAGGGGAGCUGAGAGGCUGAACCCCCACACUGGUACUGAGACACGGACCAGACUCCUACGGGAGGCAGCAGUGAGGAAUAUUGGUCAAUGGGCGCAAGCCUGAACCAGCCAUGCCGCGUGCAGGAAGACGGCCCUACGGGUUGUAAACUGCUUUUCUGCGGGAAGAACGGCCUUUACGUGUAGGGGUUGACGGUACCGCAGGAAUAAGGAUCGGCUAACUCCGUGCCAGCAGCCGCGGUAAUACGGAGGAUCCGAGCGUUAUCCGGAUUUACCUGGGUUUAAAGGGUGCGUAGGCGGCUCCCUCAGUCAGCGGUGAAAUGUGCGGCUCAACCGAUAACCUGCCGUUGAUACUGGGGGGCUAGAGUUGAGUUGAGGCAGGCGGAAUGUGCGGUGUAGCGGUGAAAUGCUUAGAUAUCGCACAGAACGCCGAUUGCGUAGGCAGCUUCCAAGCCCACACUGACGCUGAGGCACGAAAGCGUGGGGAUCAAACAGGAUUAGAUACCCUGGUAGUCCACGCCGUAAACGAUGAUAGCUCGCUGUUGGCAAUACACCUGCCAGCGGCCAAGCGAAAGCGAUAAGCUGAUCCACCUGGGGAGUACGGCCACAAGGCUGAAACUCAAAGGAAUUGACGGGGGCCCGCACAAGCGGAGGAACAUGUGGUUUAAUUCGAUGAUACGCGAGGAACCUUACCCGGGCUAGAACGCCGAGCGAAUGUGGGGGAAACUCCAUAGCCAGCAAUGGCGGUCGGCGAGGUGCUGCAUGGUUGUCGUAGCUCGUGCCGUGAGGUGUUGGGUUAAGUCCCGCAACGAGCGCAACCCCUAUCUUUAGUUGCCAGCGAGUAAUGUCGGGGACUCUAAAGAGACUGCCUGCGUAAGCAGAGAGGAAGGAGGGGAUGACGUCAAAUCAUCAUGGCCUUUAUGCCCAGGGCUACACACGUGCUACAAUGGUGGAUACAAAGAGCAGCCAACUGGCGACAGUGAGCAAAUCUCAAAAAAACCAUCUUAGUUCGGAUUGAAGUCUGCAACUCGACUUCAUGAAGCUGGAAUCGCUAGUAAUCGCAAAUCAGCAAUGUUGCGGUGAAUACGUUCCCGGACCUUGCACACACCGCCCGUCAAGCCAUGGAAGUUGGGUGUACCUUAAGACGAUAAACCGCAAGGAGUUGUCCAAGGUAAAACCAGUAACUGGGGCUAAGUCGUAACAAGGUA
rnacentral:rRNA from 1 species